AGCGAACGCUGGCGGCAGGCUUAACACAUGCAAGUCGAGCGGGCACUUUCGGGUGUCAGCGGCGGACGGGUGAGUAACGCGUGGGAACGUGCCCUCUGGUUCGGAAUAACUCAGGGAAACUUGAGCUAAUACCGGAUACGCCCUUUUGGGGAAAGGCUUGCUGCCGGAGGAUCGGCCCGCGUCUGAUUAGCUAGUUGGUGAGGUAACGGCUCACCAAGGCGACGAUCAGUAGCUGGUCUGAGAGGAUGAUCAGCCACACUGGGACUGAGACACGGCCCAGACUCCUACGGGAGGCAGCAGUGGGGAAUAUUGGACAAUGGGCGCAAGCCUGAUCCAGCCAUGCCGCGUGAGUGAUGAAGGCCUUAGGGUUGUAAAGCUCUUUUAUCCGGGACGAUACUGACGGUACCGGAGGAAUAAGCCCCGGCUAACUUCGUG
rnacentral:rRNA from 1 species